GAGAGAGAGAGAUAGGUGCUAACGUUAGAUAAAAGUGCGUUCCCUAUACACGGACCACUCAGUUAUACCGUAUAACUCGCUGGGCUCCGACUCCAUUUUUUCGUGUUGGUAUGGAAACGACAGGUCUGGCUACUCCGCUUGUCAUUGGUCGGCUGUCAAAAAAGCGCUUGACAGAGAGCGUUUUAUCGGUGGUGGCGUUUAAAAAAAGUGCUCAGGACUUUUUUGAAAACACGGUUUACUCCACAGGAUUAUAACGUAAAACAGACGCUGGCAGCUUCAAAAAAUAGAACAUGACAG